rnacentral:misc_RNA from 1 species
GAUGAAGAACGUAGCGAAAUGCGAUAAGUAGUGUGAAUUGCAGAAUUCAGUGAAUCAUCGAAUCUUUGAACGCACAUUGCGCCCCUUGGUAUCCCGAGGGGCAUGCCUGUUCGAGCGUCAUUUCACCACUCAAGCCUUGCUUGGUGUUGGGCGACGUCCCCUUUGGGGACGCGCCUCGAAACGCUCGGCGGCGUGGCACCGGCUUUAAGCGUAGCAGAAUCUUUCGCUUUGGAAGUCGGGGCCCCGUCUGCCGGAAGACCUACUCGCAAGGUUGACCUCGGAUCAGGCAGGGAUACCCGCUGAACUUAAGCAUAUCAAUAAGCGGAGGA